rnacentral:misc_RNA from 1 species
GUCACCAUGGUGUAGUUGGUU